rnacentral:lncRNA from 1 species
GACGCGCGAGCCGGAAGAGGAUGGCGGCGGGCUGCGGCGCGCGGAGGUGGCGGCUGCUGCCGCUGCUGCUGCUGGCCGGGGCGGCGCUGGCUCCGGGGCCGGCCGACGGGGUUGCGUCGGAGCCGGGCCGCUGGAGCCGGACGGCCGGCGGGAACCAAAAGAAACUCUUUGUCUUCUCCAAGACAAUGUUUAAAGGGACUUGGAUUAUUCUCAAAUUUCCCCAUGAAGUCUGCAAAAAUAGGGAAGAGCUGAAUGUGACCUGGUAUCUCCGCAGUUCCCGCUGCCACCAUGAAGCCUACAUAAAUGAAAACGAAGCAUUGACCUACCUGAGCUACCCUGACGUGGAGGCCAGUGCCCUUGGAGACGGCCAGUAUAUCUGGAACGUCACCUUGGUGCAGUGUGGACAGUUGCACAAGUUGAGUGUCCAGGAACUCCCACUUCCAAAAAAGCUGAAGCACCUCCCAGUUAAAGGGACCGUGCAAAAGAGGGAGGCCCCCAAAGAAGCGGAAGUCAAGGGAGACCAGGAGAAGGGCUCCAUUCCCCCAAAUCAAGAGGCCCAGAAGCCCAGCAGACAAAGGAGGUGA